AGUCGUAACAAGGUAUCCAUAGGUGAACCUGCGGAUGGAUCAUUACCAAAGGAUCCCAUCCAACCACAUGUGAACUGGCUUAACUUGUCGGCACCUCAGUCAGGGUCUGGACCACUGAGCCUUCGGGUUUAGGGGUCUUGGCCUUGCUACUGAAGGGUCGGCCUUAUGUCGGCACCUCGCUGUGAGUCGGAGUCUGGACCACUGAGCCUUCGGGCCCUAGGCGUACAGGCACGCUAGUGAGGGGUCGGCGUAAACCAAACGUAUUUACAAAUGAACUGAAGUAUACCUAAGAAACUUAGAGAAAACUUUUAGCAAUGGAUCUCUAGGCUCUU
rnacentral:misc_RNA from 1 species